GAUGAACGCUAGCGGCAGGCUUAACACAUGCAAGUCGAGGGGUAGAUUACUUCGGUAACUGAGACCGGCGCACGGGUGCGUAACGCGUAUACAAUCUACCUUUUACAGAGGGAUAGCCCAGAGAAAUUUGGAUUAAUACCUCAUAGUAUUUUCGGAUCGCAUGAUUUGAUUAUUAAAGUUCCAACGGUAAAAGAUGAGUAUGCGUCCCAUUAGCUAGAUGGUAAGGUAACGGCUUACCAUGGCAACGAUGGGUAGGGGUCCUGAGAGGGAGAUCCCCCACACUGGUACUGAGACACGGACCAGACUCCUACGGGAGGCAGCAGUGAGGAAUAUUGGACAAUGGGCGCAAGCCUGAUCCAGCCAUGCGCGUGCAGGAAUAAGGUCCUAUGGAUUGUAAACGUGCUUUUAUACAGGAAGUAAACACUCCGACGUGUCGGAGCUUGACGGUACUGUAAGAA
rnacentral:rRNA from 1 species